rnacentral:rRNA from 1 species
GCCACAGCCAUAUCACGCUGCAGCCCAAGACUGGUUGCCCACUGAAGCUAAGCAGGGCUGAGCCUGGUCAGUACCUGGAUGGGAGACCUCCUGGGAAAACUAGGUUGCUGCUGGAA